AGAGUUUGAUCCUGGCUCAGGACGAACGCUGGCGGCGUGCCUAAUACAUGCAAGUAGAACGCUGAAGAGAGGAGCUUGCUCUUCUUGGAUGAGUUGCGAACGGGUGAGUAACGCGUAGGUAACCUGCCUUGUAGCGGGGGAUAACUAUUGGAAACGAUAGCUAAUACCGCAUAACAAUGGGUGACUCAUGUCAUUUAUUUGAAAGGGGCAAAUGCUCCACUACAAGAUGGACCUGCGUUGUAUUAGCUAGUAGGUGAGGUAACGGCUCACCUAGGCGACGAUACAUAGCCGACCUGAGAGGGUGAUCGGCCACACUGGGACUGAGACACGGCCCAGACUCCUACGGGAGGCAGCAGUAGGGAAUCUUCGGCAAUGGGGGCAACCCUGACCGAGCAACGCCGCGUGAGUGAAGAAGGUUUUCGGAUCGUAAAGCUCUGUUGUAAGUCAAGAACGAGUGUGAGAGUGGAAAGUUCACACUGUGACGGUAGCUUACCAGAAAGGGACGGCUAACUACGUGCCAGCAGCCGCGGUAAUACGUAGGUCCCGAGCGUUGUCCGGAUUUAUUGGGCGUAAAGCGAGCGCAGGCGGUUUGAUAAGUCUGAAGUUAAAGGCUGUGGCUCAACCAUAGUUCGCUUUGGAAACUGUCAAACUUGAGUGCAGAAGGGGAGAGUGGAAUUCCAUGUGUAGCGGUGAAAUGCGUAGAUAUAUGGAGGAACACCGGUGGCGAAAGCGGCUCUCUGGUCUGUAACUGACGCUGAGGCUCGAAAGCGUGGGGAGCGAACAGGAUUAGAUACCCUGGUAGUCCACGCCGUAAACGAUGAGUGCUAGGUGUCGGGGAGGAAUCCUCGGUGCCGCAGCUAACGCAAUAAGCACUCCACCUGGGGAGUACGACCGCAAGGUUGAAACUCAAAGGAAUUGACGGGGGCCC
rnacentral:rRNA from 1 species